rnacentral:rRNA from 1 species
GACGUAGGGCGCGAGCGUUGUCCGGAUUUAUUGGGCGUAAAGAGCUCGUAGGCGGUUUGUCGCGUCGUUCGUGAAAACUCACAGCUUAACUGUGAGCUUGCGGUCGAUACGGGCAGGCUAGAGUUCGGUAGGGGAGACUGGAAUUCCUGGUGUAGCGGUGAAAUGCGCAGAGUAUCAGGAGGAACACCGGUGGCGAAGGCGGGUCUCUGGGCCGAUACUGACGCUGAGGAGCGAAAGCGUGGGGAGCGAACAGG